GGCAAGGUCCAUACCACGUUGAAUACACCAGUUCUCGUCCGAUCACUGAAGUUAAGCAACGUUGGGCGCGGUCAGUACUUGGAUGGGUGACCGCUUGGGAACACCGCGUGUCCUUGCCCCCC
rnacentral:rRNA from 1 species